UUUGUCCCUGAAGUUUGAUGCACACUGAGGGGAGCUGACUUGUUCUACACACAGAAUACAAUUUUUCAGAACUCCAGUGUGCAGCCACCAACAGAUCAUCUGUGUGCUGCGUCCUCAGCAGAUGAUAUGCCAACGAAUAUGAGUCAAACCAUUUUUACCUCUGACUGUGCUCCCAUGGCUGAAGUUUGUAGCGUGGUUGCACUCGCCAUUGGCAGUGUGAUCGUCGCUGUUGUCAUUUGUAAAUGGAGAAGUGACAAAGCUGAUUUGCAGAGGAAAAUUACAUCUCUUCAAAAUGAAUUACAAAAGAGGGACAGGGAAGAACAGGA